AUUGAACGCUGGCGGCAGGCCUAACACAUGCAAGUCGAACGAGUGGCGGACGGGUGAGUAAUGGCUGGGAAACUGCCUGAUGGAGGGGGAUAACUACUGGAAACGGUAGCUAAUACCGCAUACCAUCAGAUGUGCCAUGAUGUGAGUUGGUUGUUGGUGGGGUAACGGCUCACCAAGGCGACGAUGCAUAGCUGUACUGAGAGGAUGACCAGCCACACGGGAACUGAGACACGGUCCAGACUCCUACGGGAGGCAGCAGUGGGGAAUAUUGCGCAAGGGGCGCAAGCCUGAUGCAGCCAUGCGGCGUGUGUGAAGAAGGCCUUCGGGUUGUAAAGUACUUUCCGCGGGGAAGCGUUACCCGAAGAAGAAGCACCGGCUAACUCCGUGCCAGCAGCCGCGGUAAUAC
rnacentral:rRNA from 1 species